rnacentral:precursor_RNA from 11 species
AAGAAAUGAAAAAUAACCUGGUAUUAGUCUAGGUGAACUUUGCCCAGAUUAGACUUGUAAUUGUUAGUCACUGGGUAAAGUUUGUCCGUUGACUAGUUCCACUUACCUCUUCUGCCUGUUC